rnacentral:rRNA from 1 species
CACAAUAGCUACUUGGUGAGGUAAUGGCUCACCAAGGCAACUAUGCGUAGCCAACCUGAGAGGGUGAUCGGCCACACUGGGACUGAGACACGGCCCAGACUCCUACGGGAGGCAGCAGUAGGGAAUCUUCCGCAAUGGACGAAAGUCUGACGGAGCAACGCCGCGUGAGUGAUGAAGGUUUUCGGAUCGUAAAGCUCUGUUGUUAGGGAAGAACAAGUACCGUUCGAAUAGGGCGGUACCUUGACGGUACCUAACCAGAAAGCCACGGCUAACUACGUGCCAGCAGCCGCGGUAAUACGUAGGUGGCAAGCGUUGUCCGGAAUUAUUGGGCGUAAAGGGCUCGCAGGCGGUUUCUUAAGUCUGAUGUGAAAGCCCCCGGCUCAACCGGGGAGGGUCAUUGGAAACUGGGGAACUUGAGUGCAGAAGAGGAGAGUGGAAUUCCACGUGUAGCGGUGAAAUGCGUAGAGAUGUGGAGGAACACCAGUGGCAAAGGCGACUCUCUGGUCUGUAACUGACGCUGAGGAGCGAAAGCGUGGGGAG